AUUGAACGCUGGCGGAAUGCUUUACACAUGCAAGUCGAACGGCAGCACGGGAGCUUGCUCCUGGUGGCGAGUGGCGAACGGGUGAGUAAUACAUCGGAACGUACCCAGUUAUGGGGGAUAACUAACCGAAAGGUUAGCUAAUACCGCAUACGCCCUGAGGGGGAAAGCGGGGGACCGUAAGGCCUCGCGUAAUUGGAGCG
rnacentral:rRNA from 1 species